rnacentral:rRNA from 1 species
AUGACUGUCAAGGAGAUCCAUGGAGAUAAACCCUCUUUGAUGAUAUUCGCUUGGAUCAGGUUGAUACAAACAAUGAAGGAAGAGACGGCUCUUCUGAGAGGGAGCAAAAUCAUACCUGGAAUCUCGAUUCGCCGACAUGUGUGUACGCUGGUUCCUCUAGACAGUCUCGAGAGGCGGGAACAUCAACUGAUGCAUGCCAUCUGCAAGUGCAAGACAACAAGAAUGAACAUAAUGAAAAUCAAUGAAGAAACAACAGAAGAUAUUUUGGAAAAUGAAAGACGGGCCGCAGAAGGAGGGAACGACAGAACAAUUGAUAGCGAGCUGAAACCUGAAACAGGGAUGCAUUUUGCUACGAGGGAAGAAGCUCAAAAGUUCUUAAACUUCUAUGCCUUUGUAGCUGGUUUCUCCAUAUCUGUUGUGUCGACUGCCCGCACAACCAGCAAAAAAGGGACAGAGAAGUUACAAUGGUAA